GCACGGGUGAGUAAUAUAUAGUUAACGUGCCUCUUAGUCUGGGAUAGCCAUUGGAAACGAUGAUUAAUACUGGAUACUCCUUCUAACUAUAAUGUUAGUUGGGAAAGUUUUUCGCUAAGAGAUCGGACUAUAUCCCAUCAGCUUGUUGGUAGUGUAAGAGACUACCAAGGCAAUGACGGGUAGCGGGUUUGAGAGGAUGAUCCGCCACACUGGUACUGAGACACGGACCAGACUCC
rnacentral:rRNA from 1 species